GAGGAUAUAGCUCAGUGGUAGAGUGCAUGCCUAGCAUGCAUGAGAUCCAGGGUUCAGUCCCCAGUACCUCCA
rnacentral:tRNA from 1 species